rfam:Peptostreptococcaceae bacterium oral taxon 113 str. W5053 genomic scaffold Scaffold81, whole genome shotgun sequence.
ACACCGCGAUGAAACGGGAGGUUGCCGCCAUUUUGGCAGGAAAUUUCCGUGGAGUAUGUCCAAACUUGGAUUUGGGCGU